rnacentral:lncRNA from 10 species
ACCCGGAUGACGGCCGCGCGUGCGCGUUGGCGCAGGGACCGGCAGCGGCGCGCUCGGUCGAGCGGGCCGCGGCCACUUGGGCGGUGCGCUCCCUUGUGUGGACUGGGAGGUCGGGCACGUCCUACCGCAGCAACGUCCGCCGCGCCGCCGUUCUCUCGUCGCUUCGUUAGCCAUUUUCUUGCAACGUCUUGAGUCUUGAGCAACAACGAUGUGCGGGCACUGAAUGACAUAGUGCGCGCGUUACUCAACACAAACCGAGGGGGCGCGUGCGCGCGCUGAACCUCUCAAGGAAAUACUUUAUCAGUUCUGCUGAAUAAUCGAAAAAUUGUCGCCGGUGUGCACCAACGAACUAGGUUCCCCGAGUUCCAUUCAAAAGACCUCAAAGCAGUUCUAGGGCUGUUAGUCCAAAGAAUAGGAAGGGCUGGCCUUUGACACAUGGCUCAUUGGCUGUCUCAGGAGAAAACAUCAUCGCCCUGCCCAUGGCAGCUUAGGUUAUUCUAGGGCUGCCCUUCCUCACUUGAAAAACAGGAAAACUUCUUUCUUGUUGGCCUCAGGUUUGCUAUCCUCCCCGGUAGACCUGAUGGCUCAACACGAAAUUGUUCAAUGAAAGAGAAAACUAGCUUAUAAGUACUUGUUGCCGUUAUCAUAUACUGUGUUCACUAUUUUGCCCCCCAAAAUUUGGGAUUCCAAGAACAGUGAGCAUCUUCUUAUGGAGGAUCGGCCUGUACAAAUUACAUUGGGAUUACUACUUUACACCAAAUAUGAAAAAAAAUAUCCAUGUGGAUUGGAGACAUGAAUAUGAGGCAAAACAAUAAUACCACUAGUGUUCAGUGUGCAAGUAUAAAAUGGGAAAUGUUAGCG